GGGUUGGGGUUAGGGGUUGGGGUAGGGGUAGGGUUAGUGGUUGGGGUAGGGUUAGGGGUAGGGUUAGUGGUUGGAGCAGAGUUAGGGUAGGGUAACCCUAACCCUAUUCCUAACCCUACCCUUAACCCUACCACUAGCCCUACCCUAACCCAACCCCUACCCCUAUUCUAACCCUACCCUAACCCUACUCCUAACCUAACCCUACCCUACCCCUACCACUAGCCCAACCCCUAACCCUACCUCUAACCCUACCCUAAUCC